ensembl:lncRNA
UUUGUCUCUUUUUGCAGAGCCAAAAGCGCAGAUGAAGUAAUAAAUGGUGAUGACAAUGGACACUACAGAGUGUGAUCCAGUUUCCAGGAUAAACUGGGCUCGUUCAACUAACAUGCCUUCUGAAGUAGCCAAAUGCAAGCUCAUAUACUUUGGUUCUAGAAGAGUAAGAAGUGGCCGAACUCAAUGAAGUAGCAGAGUGGAGAAGCAGCAUGUGCUUCCAUGGUAGCACUACUACCAAUGAAAGCAGAUGUGUUCCAAUGGGGACAGCAGCCAAAAAAAAAAAAAAAAAAAAAAAACCAAGGGGAGGGAAAUUAUGAUAUUUGUUGCAUUAGAUUCACUGCUCUAAGUGAAAGACAAAUGAGUCAAGAGAUCGAACUAAACCAUUUGGUUUAAAUGUUGUUUAUCGGAGAGUGAGCUUGCAUAGGUCUGCUCCUGCUGUAUAUGGGAAGGAUGCGUACAGUAAAACUCCACCAAAGAAUCCAGGGCAUGGGCAUUCUGCAUCCCCAGAAAAAGGCCUACAAAAAAGAGUAGAGAAAAAACAUGGUGGUGAAGCAGUGCCGCCCUUUCUAGAGCCUCCACUGCUCUACUGAGACAGCUCUAUUGAAUCUCCUCCUGUAUCUCCCCCAGAAAUGGUCCCAGCUCCUGUGAGGUGAAUUGUAUGCUCCCAUUGACAUUCCUUCAGCAUCCUCUGCUGGGAAACCAGACACACCCAGUGUUGGGAGCUGGAAGGGUGUCUUCCAGCUGGCUGCUGGGCAGGUCCAGGGAAAGACAGAAAGAAAGGAUGAGAAGGUUCUAGCAGGCAAUAGCUUGAAGGUACUGAUAUUUGCCUGCUAGGAUAACAUCAACAAUGGUUAUCAAAGCCACGAUAUUUACAGCAUGCAGUUUCCUGUGAAGGUAUAUGAGCAUCACCUUGACAGAGAAGAACUGGAAACAUCGUAACAACACAGGGCUGUAGGAAAAAACAUGUCACAUUUUUCCCUCUUGAUCCCUAAAUGUGGCCUCACAAGUCCCUUCAGUGAAGGACUAAAUACUUCACUCAGCCUAUGACCACAGAUUGUCUGACUAAAAUUGCAUUAAGGAAACUGGGAUAACAGAAGGGGACUGGAUACAGAGACACUGCUCCAUAGCAAAGGCUCUGGAAUAAAUUUUCCUUUGCAUAUCUUGAACAUGCAUGCAGUGAGUAUUGCUUCUGAACCACAGCACAUUUUCCCACCUACACAUGAACUGUGGCUUUGCAGUUGAAAAUACUUGUUGAAGUACAAAUAUUUGUUGACAGGCCUACAAAGAGCCCACUGAGCUGCCUUUCCUUCUUGUUCCCUGUCAUGCUUAAAAAUGCUAAAAUUGUAGAGGAGUUUCUCACUUGAGUUUACUGUCAUUUAUGCAAGUCAAAAAGAGGCAAGUAUUUCCCACUCCAAAAAGGGAGACACUAGAAAACAUACAUAUGUAAGACAGUAAUGCUGUUGCUUUGACAUAGUAUAUUCCGUUUCAGUGUGCUUCCUGACAGGAUGACUCUUCCUCUAUUUACCUGCUUUUAAUGAAGCAAUUACAUGAGAAAGUAAUCUCCAACAAUGGUAUUAUUCAGCACAGCCUUCUAAAACAUCAAUGUCUUAACCUUUACUAAAGCGAGUCAUAAAAUUAAGUAAUUGAGUAAGAUCAAUUAGACACAUACUGCCAGGUGACAGCAUGUGUUGCCAUUACACUGGUUUUAUAAUAACUGUGUAAUCUCUAAUAUGCCCUUGUACCUUGAAGAACUGUAGAGUUACCCUAGGGAAAAUCCUGCUACAUAUAUUUUAAUUGUUAGCAUCUUAAGAGAAAGGAUAAAAUCUUUUUGUUAACUCAUGAAAUUACUUAACUUCCAUGCUUCUUUCAUGAAGGAGUAGCAGUGAAAAAAAGCAGUACCUGAAAUUUAUUUUUGGUUGUCAGCAUAUAGAAAAAUAAUCUACUGAAAUCCAAAUAAAUUUAUAAACCUUCCUUAGUACUUUUUCUCAGUUCCUUUUGUCUGAUGCAGGCUGUAUCUGGGGCUUCCAUAUAGAACCACCAAGCCUCCCACCUCAGCCACAAGGACUUCCUAUCAGUUUUAAUCUUUCUACCCUGAAACCAUUACCAUGCCCUGUUCAUCUAAUUGCAGAUUUGGAUCCAAUGUCUUUUUCCUGGCAGUACUGCCCAGGUACAGCUUUGUGCAUUGUUUUUUUUUUUCAUGUUGUUGUUCUUUCCCUUGGUGUUUCUUUGUAAACUGGCAAUCCAUGCCAAUUUAGCUUCCUAUGUUGCCUCCUAUUGUUUUAUUUACAUAGUAUUGCCUGAUCAGUAACAAUCACUGCUUUCUUGAUCAACUUGAAGAAUAAAUGAUUCGUAACAAAUCACUUGGUUUUCUUUCAGACUUCACCUUGUCAUAUCUAGUACAAAAAAACAAGAAGUGGAAGAAAGAGAUUAUAUCCUGUGGUCAUGGUUUUCCAGUUUAGGAGCCAGCACUAUCAGACUCCAUGUAACAUACUUUUCCUUCCUCUGUUUCCUUUCUUUCCCAAACAGAAAAACAAUAAUUAUCUGUUCAGUUCUAGUUCCUAACAGUGUAGAUGACUCUCUUGUAGGCACUGUGCUAUCUGGAAGCUGCUGAAAGAGGAUAUUGACUUUCUCCCUGCCUUCCAUCUCUUCCAAAGCUGAGAACUACAUCCCUACGAAUACCAGAGACAAAAUAAUCCAAAUCAGAAUUAAUUCCUUUAUGCUUCAGAUGAGAGUGCAUCUCCAGAACUCCAAUAGUAUAGCAGAAUAUAAGUAAUAUUUCCUUCAUUCAGCAGGAAGAUUUGUGGGGAAAAGAUAAAUAUUAAUAAACAGAGUUAUACAUACUCUGCCCCUCUGUCGUCAGAUUUUUGGCUGAGCAAACAGCAGCAGUGCUUUCAGUGCAGGCAGUAGUAAAUGACUGAAGUUAACCCCAGGAUGGAAGGCAUAGUUAUGUCUAUAUUUGCAAUUAGUGCAGCCUGGGAGUGAAUUUUGUAGACUGGAUCAGCUGAUGCUUUUUGGCUUGUGGACUGAGUGAACACAAUGACUGCACCCAUAGCAAGCACUUUAUAGUUCAGUUACAUCUAAAAUCAUUCCUUCACAUGAACCCAAAGCAUGCAUGCUUCUCAUCCAAACCAAAACAGUGACAAAGUUAUAUCCUCUGUGUUGUCCCUGCAUGCCCAUUUCAUGCCAAGUAAGGUUUCAUCAGCUUCCUGGUGUUUCUGCAGAUGACUGAGGUCGCUCACAGCCCAGGUUUCCUUUGCAAAGCCUGGUCCCAGCUCCUGCCCUGAGCCACUGCUUUCUUCUGUUGGUGCAACUCUGGUCAAGCGGUAAGCUGGAAUGCUUUUUAAUAACAGGGUCAAUUUUUAGAUGCCUCAGUUCUUUUCUCCAGCCAAUGUUACACUGUACAUCCACUUGAGAAGCAGAGCCAGAUUCAUGGAGGUAAAAAGAAGACAGCAGUUUUGUUUUGCUUUCUUAAAUCAGUAAUGAGGCUUAAGUUGGCUAGAAUUCCUUUGUGAAUCUGCUCCUUAAGUAGAUAUGCACAUGGUGGCUCCUAAGAUAAAUAGGAAUGCCCUGUAGUUACUGUUACUGUUGAUUUGAUUCAGCUACAACUGGAGUUGAAAGAAAUAUUAAACAGGGUAUAGCUCAAAGGUUUUACAUGCUAUUUGGACUGUUUCAGGCUUUCCCUAAAGUCUCCAGACACACAAAAUGCAGGGAACACAGAACUUAGGAGAACUUUGUCCAAGAGAAAUAGGAUCAUGCCCUUAAUCUGAAAAACUUCCAUGUUUCUCUUUCUCUUUUCUCAUUCUUUUUUGCUCAAAAGUAAUGAUUUACACUCACAAGGAGUCUAAACAGAGUGCUUUCAAGGAAUGGUGCGAACUCAAAUAACAAAAUGGUGACUUGAAAAAUACUAUUUGUCCCAUCUUUUUGCAUACAAUAAGAGGCUGUCUUUUGUUGUUUUGUUUUUUGUUUGAUUGUUUUAAUUUGUAUUUCUUUCUCCUCAGUUGGCCUGAGGUGUGAUAGAUGAAUUGCAUCUGCCUGACUGUUAGGACUAUUAAAUAGGACUAGUAAUCUUGAGAUGAUCUUUCUAUGGCUGUUCAAUUCCUUGCAGUGUAUUAAGAUACAUUUUGCAGUCAAAAAUUUCACCAUUGUUUUAAAUAUAGAUUUUUAUUUAUUUUUUUUUUUUUAAAUGAUGAGGAAAAGUUUGUUUAAUCUGUUUGCAUGGUUUGGUCUAUUUUACUGAUUAAUUGAUUCGUAAUGUUGUGAAAAGUAAUCUGUUUGUGGACAGACAGGAGAUUCUUAUCAUACAAAACACAGGAAAUCUCAAAUUGAUUUUAUCCCCAGGAGUAAUAUCUGGUGAACAAUAGAAAACUGCUGGUAUUGUUCUGAGGCAUUUAUUUUUACUGUAGGAUUUUGCACUACACACAGCUUUAUUUACAUAACUAAAUACCUAGGAAAAAUACCCCUUGUGAUCCAGGAAAUAGUUGAUUAUUAAGUGAGAAUCUACUGUUUGAAUCAUUUUUGUCUUCUCCUCAUGCCUCCAACAGUACUUACUUAAAUACACAGAAAAGGAGAACUAGAAAAUCUGUUUCAAUAAAACAAUAGUGACAUGCUAUUCCCUUUUCAGAGAAAGAUUUCUGUUAAGAAACCUUUGCAAGUUCCUCUAUAUUAAGCACAUUGCUGUCUUACUCAGGAUAUUAAAGUUUAACUGAAUAGCAAAAAUUUGUUUGUUCAGCAUCUCAAAUCUUUUAACAAAGCUCACACAAAAAGCAUGAAAAUUUUCAGCUUCCCUGUGGACUGGAGUAGCAACAAUGUAUAUGCUAGAAAUACAGUAUCUGUUCUUAAGCCACAAUCAAAACCGACUAUAGUAAAAGCUACAGCACGUAGCUCAAGGAAAUCAUUUCUUCUGCUGUCUGUCAGUACUAGACACAGUGUGUCAAACUUAAUUUUUGUCCCUGUGUGACUGGCACAAAUCCAGGAUCUUAUAUAUGUGUGUUGAUACCUCCCUAAAGAGAAAGUGAGGCUGCAGUGCUGUUUCUGAAAUUCAUCCCCACUGAGAUGCAUCAAUAGAACUGUUACUUCUCCCACAGUGGGCAGUAGGUUUGUUGAUGGUGGUUGCUCCUGACUGGCUGAGGUUUGUAGUUCUUCUUUGUCUUGAAGUAAAAAAACAAAACAAAACAAAACAAAACAAAGGAAAAACAAAACAAACCCCAACCAGAC